ensembl:lncRNA
UUCUUUCCUUCUUCCACUCUUCUUCUUUCGUUCUUCCACUCUUCUUUCCUUCUUCCACUCUCCUUUCCUUUCUUCUUUCCUUCUUCCACUCUUCUUUCCUUCUUCUACUCUUCUUUUCUUUCUUCACUCUUCUUUCCUUCUUCCACUCUUCUUUCCUUCUUCUACUCUUCUUUUCUUUCUUCACUCUUCUUUCCUUCUUCUUUCUUUUCUUCUUUCCUUUCUUCACUCUUCUUUCCUUUCUUCUUUCCUUCUUCCACUCUUCUUUCCUUCUUCUACUCUUCUUUUCUUUCUUCACUCUUCUUUCCUUCUUCCACUCUUCUUUCCUUCUUCUACUCUUCUUUUCUUUCUUCACUCUUCUUCCACUCUUCUUUCCUUUCUUCUUUCCUUCUUCCACUCUUCUUUCCUUCUUUCUUUUCUUCUUUCCUUCUUCCACUCUUCUUCCACUCUUCUUUCCUUCUUUCACUCUUCUUUCUUUUCUUCUUUCCUUCUUCCACUCUUUUUUCCUUCUUUCACUCUUCUUUCCUUCUUUCACUUUUCUUUUUUUUUCUUCUUUCCUUCUUCCACUUUUCUUUCUUCACUCUUCUUUCUUUUCUUCUUUCCUUCUUCUUUACUUCUUCCACUCUUCUUUCCUUUCUUCUUUCCUUCUUAUACUUUUCUUUUUUUUCCUCUUUCCUUCUUCUUUCCUUUCUUCACUCUUCUUUCUUUUCUUCUUUCCUUCUUCCCUUCUUCUUUCCUUCUUCGACUCUUCUUUCCUUUCUUCUUUCCUUUCUUUACUCUUCUUUCCUUUCUUAUUUCCUUCUUUCACUCUUCUUUCCUUUCUUAUUUCCUUCUUUCACUCUUCUUUCUUUUCUUCUUCCUUUCUUAACUUUUGCAUUUCAUGCACUGGUAUUUCCUUCAGGAAAUGCAUUUUCUAGUUCUUCUUCUUCUUCUUCUUCUUCUUAUUAUUCUCUUUACCGACUUCUGCGCUUAAUUCAGCUUGAACCGCUUAACGUAGAAACUUCGUUCAAACUUUGCUGCAUAGGUCUUGUAAAGGACACUUAUGCUAUGUAUUUUUCAUUUUUCUAAACUUUAUACUUUUUAAAAUAUUAAAUAAAAACUAAUACAAUUUCUCCCAUUGACUUACAUUGGGCCAUUAUGACAUCAUAAUAGGGUCAUUAAACUGGCUUGCACCUGUGCUUCACUGACACCUGCGCCAAGGUUCCAAGGCUCCUCUUCUCUCUGUCCCUCUCCAUUCAACUGUAUAACUAGGAAUAUUAUUAUUUCCUUCUUCCACUCUUCUUUCCUUCUUCCACUCUCCUUUCCUUUCUUCUUUCCUUCUUCUACUCUUCUUUUCUUUCUUCUUUCCUUCUUUCACUCUUC